rnacentral:rRNA from 1 species
CACGUAGGGCGCAAGCGUUGUCCGGAAUUAUUGGGCGUAAAGAGCUCGUAGGCGGUCCGUCACGUCCGCUGUGAAAACCCAGGGCUCAACCCUGGGCUUGCAGUGGAUACGGGCAGUCUAGAGGUAGGUAGGGGAGAAUGGAAUUCCCGGUGUAGCGGUGAAAUGCGUAGAUAUUCGCAAGAACACCAGUGGCGAAGGCGGCUCACUGGCCCGGUACUGACGCUGAGGCACGAAAGCGUGGGGAGCAAACAGG